rnacentral:lncRNA from 1 species
CGUGUUUAACCAGCAUAUGACCCUCUAGGCGCAUUCAACUGGAAAGAAUAUUGGAGCUGAGAAGAGAGAAACAAGAAGUCGUCUGCUAUGUCCAAGUAGAAUUCAGACAUGUUUUGGAAUACCUGGUGAACAAAGCAAAACAACCAAAAGGCAAAUGUAAAAACUAAUCCUAUGAGAAGAAGGAGAUAAUCAUGAUGCCCCACACCUAGUAAGAAAAUCUUAGUGUCAAAAGAGUGGCAAUGCUAAAUACUGGGGAUUUUCUGUCAACUGGGUUUGCGUUCUAACACAGACAAUCCUCAAUGACUUUAUGCCUCAUAUCCUUUUGAGUGUGAAGAAACUAUGAAAAAAAAAAAAAACUAAAACAACUGUUUCAUUAAAAUAUUGGCUAAAAGAAAAAAAAAAACCUGCACUACUUUUGAACCUUUCUAACAGAGUAUAACACGAAGAAAGACAUCAUCAUCCUCCCCCUACUUUAUCCCAGCUAAUCCGGCAGCUUUAGCUGUGAAAGAGAACAUUGGUGGAAAUGCCCAGCAGAGAGCACCAUAUGGCAAGAGACUGAAGUGCCUGGUGGAACAGCAGCUGUACUCAAUGGAAAGAGACUUAUUCGGGAGCAUAGCUGAGACAGCCCCCAGGGAUGUCUAGAAAUACAUGGGUAGAAGAACUUUGCAAAAGGCUAUAUGUCCUCUACAUUGAUAGUUACAGACAAAAAAAAAUGGUAUUUAAGUUAUUAACAUUAUUGCAACUCUCUUUAGUAACUCCAAUCCAAUGAAGCCUGGGAAAAUGUGUUAUAUAAAUAAAAAGGAUUAAUCCUUAUUUCCUCUAGGAAUAUUUCCAGCACUGUACGUGGUCUCAGUGGGCUUGAAUUAUUGAUCUGCAAAUCCCUUCUGCUGCAACACAAAGAGCAGAAAGGCAUUUGCCCUUCUUCACUAUGGACAUUCAGCUUUAACACUGAGUGAUGAGUGACAGUCUUAUAAAGCACUAUCUCAAAGUAAUAUAUUAUUAUUCUUAAUAGCAUUAUUAUUAUUAUUACAAGUAGGGAUUCUAAUUUGAUACACAAUUCCAAAGCCCAGCCCCUUGUCAUGUCCUUGAAGGAACAAAGCUAUGAAUAAAAACUGAAAGAGCUAUCCCACAAAUCUCUGCAACACAUAGGGUAUAUAUACACUACUUUGGAAUUCCUAAGUAUAACACAAAAGGAAAUAAGGGAGUCAGACCAUCCAAAGGCAUUGGGUUUGGUGGGUGUAGGGGGGCAGAGACAAAUGCUAUAAAACUUAGCAGAAUGACUUACAAAAGUGGCAGAGUCUGACAUGUCCAGCACAGCAGUACAUGCCAGUAAAAGAGCACGGAGAAACCCUAGCAUCCACUAGAGUAGUUGAAAACACUCCUCUCUCCUCUUCUUAUAGGGUCAGUGGCAAUUCCAAAGACUGCUGUGCCAAACAGAACUUAAGGAAGAGAGAGAACCUAGCCAAACAACACUUUCUCUUGCUAAAGUAAGUGCUCCAGAUCACCUUUCAAAUGCAAUUACCUAAUACAACCAUGGAUUUUAAAGUACAUAGGCAGUUUUGAUGGCAGAAAGAAUGAAAUUUCCCAUUUAUGUUAGAGUUUAUUUUUAACUCAGAAAUAAAGCAGAACAUCAUAAUUGUGCAUAUUUUUUUCUACUAUAUUAUGACCAUAACAGACAGUGAAGUACAAAAUGUGAAACUACAUUCUAAUAUAAUAUAGUCAUGCUGGAUAUUUUAGACAUUGUAUAUAUUUCACACAAGAACAUAUCUAAUAUGUUGAUUUACUAUAGCCUAUACAUUUGUCAAAAAAUCAGUAUUUUAAAAUACAGCAUUUUGAUGUCAUCUUUUACAUCACAUUUUUAUAGCCUAAAAUCAUGUUAAGGUUUUGUAUUAACUCUUUUAAUGCAAGGAUUCAAGACCUUGAGCAGGAUUCUAUUGAAGAAGCUUUCUUUAAGUGAAUUUACAUUAUUGAGAUUUUAUGAUUCAAUUGUUUCACAAUUCUAAUAGUAAUCCAGUAGGAGGAAAGAUUAUGUAUGUGUACAUGUGCACACACACACAAUUUAAGACCCCACAAUAAUAUCCAUUUUUUUUUUUUUGUGUGUGUGUGUGUGUGUGUGUGUGUCUACAAUAAUAUCCAUUUCAUUUAAACCACAUGAAUUGACAAGUACUUAACUCAUUAACCUCUGCGGUACUCAGGUAGAUGUUGAAUCAGAAAUUUAAAAGGCUUUUAAAAAUACAGACAGAAAACAAAGGAUAAAUUGAUGCACUCUUAUCUCUAAAUUACAGUUUCUUUUAUGUCAAGAAGUGUUGGCAAUACCAACUUCAAGGUCACUGUCAAUUUUGAAAAUCAUUAGCAAAUAAAAUAUGACUUAAUUGAAGCAAACUCAGCAUGGAACUGCAUUAUUUUAAGUAAAUGCUAUAUUAUAAUUUGAAGAAGAAUUACUAACUGCCACUCUCACUGACAAUUAAAUAAAUGAAGAUGGGGCUAUGCAACUUUCCCCCAUGUCUUUCCAUAAUUAAAUAUGGAAAUAGAAUUUGUGAAGAAUUAAAAGGCCCAAAGUGCAAUAAUUCAAACACUAAUGAACUGUUUUCCAGUGUGGCAGCACACAGGUAGUUCCCAGCAUGUUAUCAUUAGCAAAUAUGUCAGUAUCAUCAUUCCAAUCACAAACUUUGCUUGUGAAAUACACCUCUGAAAAAUAGAUUUCUAAUAGUUACCUGGGCUCUUCUAAAAGAAGAAAGAAGCUAAACUUUAUCAUUCAAAAUGUUAUAUAAAAUAACUUUUUUGUAGAAUUUCUCUUCACAAAUUAAAUUUAGCUAAAGUUUAACAUUUGUCACUUAGAGUCUUACACAACUCUUAAUUCUGUAUUUAAGCUUUAUUAGACAGCUUCAGCAGAUGUGAUUCACCAGUUAAGAAAGAAUCACAAUAAUUACCCAUCUAUUGGAUUAUUUUCUUAAUUUUCUAUCAAUAUGCACCUCUGGAAACUAAACCCACAUAUAGUAUUAAAUAUUAUUUCAAAAAGCAAGCAAAGAGUUACCCAGAAUUAUCGAAAAUUCAGAUAAGAUUUGAAUUAACAUUAUUACAGUAUCAAUUUGGCAGUAGUUUGUGAAGAACCUGUGUUUUUCUGCAGGAGAAACAGAAGAAAAUAAAGCCUUCAGCUACUGAGCUUUGCCACGCUAUCUCUAGUUCUCUCAAAUACAAGAUGAGGAUUUCAAAAAAUAUCACAAUUCCGUUUGUAUUAAACUUUGCUGAAUCUUCUUGAAUAUUAUGAACUAUGUCUUUAACUGAUACAGAAAACUACGUUUUUAUAUGUUUUUAAAUUACAUCUAGAUUUUUAUUCCAAUAAAUAAAUAAUAAGUUGUAUUGAUUCAAUACUUAUUAAAUUAGGCCAUCAAAUAAAUUAGGUCAUCAAAUAAAUGUCUUCUUCUUCUUCCUUAUUUCUAUAAAUAAUAAUUUAGCCAGGAAGUAAUCAAGUUUUAUAUGUCUAAGUAAUGCUUAUUCAUGUGGGGAAAGGAUUUUAUACAUGCAGGGAAGCUUGGAGGCAUCAUUGUGGCCUUCUAAUAGAUGACACAUUAUUCUGAAACAAAAAAAAAAUAGCUUAAAGCAAGAAUUACAUUUUGAGAUGUAAGUUAUGAGUGAUUAGGGAAUUAUUAAGCUAAAGCCAAGAAUCUAUGACUAAUUGUGAAGAAUACUUAUUCCAAUAUGUUAGACCAUAGUUAUUUUUCUCAGGAUAUUUUAGGUAAGGAAACUGAGCACAAAGAUUAAGUAACUUGGCCAAGGACUAAUAACUAUUAAGUGGUAGAGUCAGGACACAUAACCAGGAAGUCUGGCUCCAUUACACUUCUUUGCAUAACUUGUCCGUCACCUUGGGGAGAAUAUCCUAAUAUCAAAUCAUAAGACCAUUUCACUGGAGUUUUUACAGAAUUGAACCUAUUGUUCACAUAAGAAUAUCUUACUCAAAUAUUUAAGAUACUUAAAUAUCUUAAUGAAGAUUAAUUGUCACAUUGUUAUUAAUAGGAUGAUGGGACAGUCAAGGCCUAGAAGACCAGGUAUGUCAUAGAGAGAGAGAAUGAAAUAUUCUUGAGACAAAAACUCCCAUGGCCAGAAAGAAAUGGGAAUUCUUAUGGUUAGAAAAGGAAACAUGUAACUUAUAUUAUCCUUACUUUUCAUGUUACCAGAAUUAAUCUGGUUCUUCAAAAGUUUUAUAGCAUGAAACAAUCCAUUAGUCUUAAAAUAUCUGCCUACUACUGUAUUUAAACACAAAAUGUAUUAUUUCUAGUUUGUUCCAUAAUCAAUAGGAAUUCUUCUAAAAACUUAAAAAUCAAAAAUUA